rnacentral:lncRNA from 1 species
UUUUUUUUUUUUUUUUUUUACAGAAAAGCCUUGGCACCGUAGCAGCCUCCCCCGCUUCUUCUCCACUAGGACGCCCGCCUGACUAACCCCAUUGCACAAUUCCUACCGUGGAACUGCCGCGUGACUCGGCGGGAGCCCAAAAGUUUCCCAGGUUUCCCUAGCCUAGAAAAGCGUGGGUGGGUGUCCUGCCCUGACCCCAGGCGCCCUUUAAGUUGUAUUUCUUCGGGUAACUGGGGUGCCCUUUAAAGUGUAGAAAUAGACCUUUAUUUUGAAAGAAAGAAAAUCUCAGGAGCUCGCUGGCCCCCCAGGUCUAGGUUGGCGCCGGGUGACUGCAACGAAACGCGUUUCUUUUCCCAUGUACAUUUUCAGACGGUAAAAGUGUUUCGAUCUGUUUGGGGAAGAAGUCAGGCGCUGGUUUUAAAGGAGGAAGGGGAGUGAUACUUAAAAGCAGAGACACAAUCUGGAGCGCUCCAAGAAUCAUAGUGUUUAUUAACAAUGAUUGUGCUUAGUAGACACUGCGAAAAUAUCAAACAAAUGAAUAUUUGGAGGAGGGAUUUAAAUGGGUGUCUACAGGCCAACGCUUUCAUUCUGCAGAGAGAAAACCUAGAGGUUAAGUGAUUUGCCUAAAGUCACCUGGCCAAUUAAUGUGGAAGGCAGGAAUGGAAUCUGUCUCGUUUUAACUCCAAAUUUUCGUUAUGAGAAGGGUGCGUUUUCCUCUCUUUAUGAAAAAAAAAAAAAAACCUUCUGCAGUAAUCUCUGUAAAGCCAUACUCCACUCCCUCUGUCUACGCAUCUAAAGCAAACAUACAAAACACAAAAGAAAACAGCAAUCCCCAAAUGCAAUGCAUGCACUCAAAUAGGCUAAAUUUGGCAAUGCCAAAACAAGAUAGUAACAAGGCAUUUUAGUUCUUAUUCCUGUAAAUAACACUUUUUUGUUUUGUUUUGUGUUUUGAGACAUAUUCUUGGUCUGUCACCCAGGCUGGAGCGCAGUGGCACGAUCUCACCUGGACAACAAGAGCAAAAUGCCAUCUUAAAAAAAAAAAAAAAGUGAAUUCUCUGUGGUUAUUAGAGGCUGGGAAGGGUAGUGGGAGGGGAAGAUGAUGAGAGGUUACAUAACAAAUACAAAUUUACAGCUGGAUGAGAGGAAUAAGUUCUAGUGUUCUAUAGCACUAUAGGGUGCAUAUCGGUAACAAUAAUUUAAUGUAUUUUUUCCAAGAAACUAGAAGACUUUUGAAUGUUCACAAAGAAAGAAAAUCUUCAAGGUGAUUGAUAUGCUAAUUACCCAGAUUUGAUCAUUGCACAUUGUACACAUGUCCUGAAAUAUCAUUGUAUCCAAUAAAUACGUACUGUGUCAACUAGAAAUAAAGGGAAAAUCAAUUAAUUCUUUAAAAAUAUGUGAGUUAUCUCCAAUUGACCUAUAGAUUUGAUUGCAAUUCCAAUUAAAAUCCCAGCAGACUUUUUGAUGGAACUUGACAACUUAAUUAUAAAAUGUAUAUGGAAGUGCAAAGGGCCAAAAUUAGCCAAGAUGAUCUUGCAGAAGAAUAAGUUAGGGGACUUGCCAUUCCAGAUAUUAAAAUUUUAAAAGUCAUAAUAAUGAAGAUAUAAAUAAGUAUUGGUGAGGGAUAUAAAAAAAAAAUCAAUGAAUUUGAAGAGAGAACCCAGACUUAAAUCACUCAUAUAUAAAUGGAGGCACUAAAGAAUAAAGGAGAAAGAUAAAAGAAACUUUCAGUAAAUGGUGCUGGGAUGAUUGGGUAUCCAGUCACAAAAAUGAAAUUGGACCCUUACUUUAUACCAUACAUAGGAAUAAUUCCCAGGUGAAUUAAAAAUCUGGCAAAAUUGUAAAAAUCUUAGAAAAUAAUAUGGGAGAAAAUAUGUGUUACCUUGAGGCAGGAAAGUUUUCCUAAAUAAGACACAAAAUACACUCGCCAUAAAAUAAAAGAUCGGUAAACUAGAGUACAUUAAAACUGAGAAUAUUUAUUCAUCAAAACUCUUAAUAUAACACCUACCAUCAAUUGGGAAAAGAUAUAUAAUUGCCCAGGUGCGGGGCUCACGUUUGUAAUCCCAGCGCUUUGGGAGGCCGAGGCGGGCGGAUCACAAGGUUCAAGACCAGCCUGGUGAAUAUGGUGAAACCCCGUCUCUACUAAAAAUACAAAAAUUAGCAGGCAUGGUGGCGCACAUCUCCCGCCGUCCCAGCUACUGGGGAGGUGGAGGCAGAAGAAUUGCUUAAACCCGGGAGGCGGAGUUUGCAGUAAGCUGAAAUCAUGCCACUGCAUUCCAGCCUAGGCGACAGAGGGAGGCUCCAUCUCAAACAAAACAAACAAACAAAAAAAAAAAAUUUGUGAGUCAAUGACAGACUAACACAAGGUAGGAAAAUGGGAAAAAGAUUAAAACAGGUACCUUAUAAAAGAGGAAACUCAAAUCAUCAUAAACAUAUGAAAAGAUGCUCAACCUUGUGAGUAAGAAGGAAAAUGCCAAGUAGAACCACAUUGAAAUAUUUUUGCAUACCCAACACAUAAAUACAAGUAAGCCUGACAAUUUCAAAUAAGGAAAAUGCUGUGGAAUGAUGGGAAUUUUAUACACUGCUAGUAAGCUUGUAAAUUUGUACAAGUACUCUGAAAAACAGUUUGGCAUUACCUAGAAAGAUUGAACAUGUAUAUAUCCUAUGACUUUGCAAUUCUGCCCCCAGUUAUAUACCCUAGAGGAAUUCUUGCAGUAGGAAACAUGUACUUGAAUGUUCAUAGCAGCAUUGUUCAUAAUAAAAAACUGGAAGCAAUCCAAAUGUCCAACAAAAAUACAAUAUAUAGUCUCAUGUACUCAUUAAAGGGGAUACUGUUACACAGCAGUGAAAAUAAAGAACUAACCAGGCACAGUGGCUGAUGGCUAUAAUCCCAGCACUUUGAGAGGCGGAGGCGGGUAGAUCACUUGAGCUCAGGAGUUCAAGACCAACCUGGGCAACAUAGCAAAAUCCCCUGUCUACAAAAAAUACAAAAAUUAUCCAGGUGUGGUGGCACGUGCCUGCAGUCCCAGCUACUUGGGAGGCUGAGAUGGGAAGAUCAAUUGAGCCCAGGCGGUGGAGGCUGCAGUGAGCUGAGAUCAUGCCACUACACUCCAGCCUGGGUGAGUGAGAUCCUGUCUAAAAAAAAAAAGAAAAAAGAACUAACAUCUAUGCACAUCAAUAUAGACGACAGGAACAAAAUGUUGAGAGAAGUAAGUCACAGAAGAAAACAUACACUAUGGGCUGGGUGCAGUGGCUCAUGCCUGUA